ACUGCUUUGGUUAUACAGGUUCAUACUGGGUUAUACUGGUUCAUACUGGGUUAUACUGGGUUAUACUGGUUAAACUGGUCUGUACUGGUUCAUACUGCAUUAUAGUGCUUAUACUGGCUUAUACUGGUCCAUACUGGAUUAUACUGGUUUGUACUGCUUAUACUGCGUUAUACUGGUCCAUACUGGGUUAUACUGGUUUGUACUGGUUUAUACUUGUCCAUACUGGGUUAUAGUGGUUAUACUGGUCCGUACUGGUUACACUGGUUAGACUGGUCUGUACCAGGUUAUACUGGUUUGCACUGGGUUAUACUGGGUUAUAAUUGUUAUACCGGUUUGUACUGGUUCAUACUGGUUAUACUGGGAUAUACUGGUUUGGUUAUAUGGGUUCAUACUGGGUUAUAAUGGUUAUACUGGUUAGACUGGGAUAUACUGGUUUGUACUGGUUAUACUGGUUUGUACUGGGUUAGACUGGGUUAUACUGGUUUGGUUAUAGGGGUUCAUACUGGGUUAUAGUGGUUAUACUGGUUUGUACUGGUUCAUACUGGGUAUUGUAGCUAUACUGGUUUGUACUGGUUAUACUGGUUGUACUGGUCAGUACUCGUUUGUACUGGGUUGUACUGGUUUGUAUUAGUUAUACUGGUCCAUACUGGUUUGCACUGGAUCAUACCGGUCUGUACUGGUUUAUACUGCGUUAUACCGAUCCAUACAGGGUUAUACUGGUUUAUACUGGGUUAUACUGGUUUGGUUAUACAGGUUCAUACUGGUUCAUACUGGUUCAUACUGGUUCAUACUGGUUCAGGCCAUGGACACCCCCUCGGAUGAAGGUGACGAUGACGAUGAUGAGCAAGCUCAGGAGCGCCCCCUGCAGGUCUGUACUGGUUUGUACUGGUUAUACUGGUUUGUACUGGUUAUACUGGUUCAUACUGGUUCAUACUGGUUUAUACUGGUGGCAGAUCACGGGUGUCCCCUCAGAGGCCGUUGAUGAUGAUGAAGGUGAUGACGAUGAUGAGCAGGGUCAGGAGUGCCCCCUGCAGAUCAUGGAUGUCCCCGUGGAGGCCGCUGAUGAUGAAGGUGACGAUGACGAUGAUGAGGAGUCAGUAGCAGAAGCUCAGCAGCGGCUCCUGCAGGUCCGUACUGGUUUGUACCGGUCUGUACUGGUGCAUACUGGUCCAUACUGGUCUGUACUGGUCCAUACCAGUUCAUACUGGUCUGUACUGGUUUAUACUGAUUUGUACUGGUCCAUACCGGCUCAUGCUGGUCCAUAUUGGUUUAUGUUGAUUUGUACUG
rnacentral:lncRNA from 1 species